GUCUUUUUGAUAAUAAUUUAAAGUCUAAUCUGCCCACUGAUAAUAUUAAAGGGCUGCAGUAUUAUGACUGUACAAAGGUAGCAUAAUCAUUAGUUUUUUAAUUGAAAACUUGUAUGAAAGAUUUAAUGAAAUAUUAACUGUCUCUUAUUUAUUAUUAAAAAUUUAUUUUUUAGUAAAAAAGCUAAAAUAUGUUUAAAAGACGAGAAGACCCUAUAGAGUUUUAUAUUUAUAAUUUAUUUUAUUAUAUAUAAAAAUUAAUAUUAAAUUAAAUAUAAAUAUUGUAUUGGGGUGAUAGAAAAAUUAAAUUAACUUUUUUUGAAAAAUUUACAUAAAUAAAUGAAUAAUUGAUCCAUUAUUAAUGAUUAUAAGAAAAAAUUACCUUAGGGAUAACAGCGUAAUAUUUUUUUUUAGUUCAGAUAAAAAAAAAAGUUUGCGACCUCGAUGUUGGAUUAAGAUAAAAUUUAAAUGCAAAAGUUUAAAAUUUUGAUCUGUUCGAUCAUUAAAAUCUU
rnacentral:rRNA from 1 species